GAUUGCAGGUUUUGUCAGACUACUUAUAACGAUGAACGGCUCACAGGCUCAGAGACGUGACUUUAUGGAAGAGCGAAGAACAACAGCUGAACAGAACGCGAAUGUCAAAGUGGAUACUCGUGAUACGAGAGACAUACACGUGGAGACGAUGAGUUUGACGAUUAAAUGAUGACAUGUGAGUGCCAGUAAGCCAGGUUUCCAUACAGG